UUACGGCCAUAUCACAUAGAAACACCGAUCUUCGCUCGGUCACCGAAGUUAAGCAACGUUGAGCCUAAUCAGUACCUAGAUGGGGUACCACUUGGAAAUACCAGGUGCUGUAA